rnacentral:rRNA from 1 species
UACGUAGGGGGCAAGCGUUGUCCGGAAUCAUUGGGCGUAAAGCGCGUGUAGGCGGUCCGGUAAGUCGGCUGUGAAAGUCCAGGGCUCAACCCCGAGCCUGCAGUCGAUACGGGCAGACUAGAGUGCUGUAGGGGAGACUGGAAUUCCUGGUGUGAGCGGUGGAAAUGACGCAGAUAUCAGGAGGGAACACCGGUGGCGAAGGCGGGUCUCUGGGCGAGUAACUGACGCUGGAGGAGCGAAAGCGUGGGGAGCGAACAGG